GAUGAACGCUGGCGGCGUGCCUAAUACAUGCAAGUCGAACGCUGAAGGAGGAGCUUGCUCUUCUGGAUGAGUUGCGAACGGGUGAGUAACGCGUAGGUAACCUGCCUGGUAGCGGGGGAUAACUAUUGGAAACGAUAGCUAAUACCGCAUGACAACAGUUAUUGCAUGAUAACUGUUUAAAAGGGGCAACUGCUCCACUACCAGAUGGACCUGCGUUGUAUUAGCUAGUUGGUGAGGUAACGGCUCACCAAGGCGACGAUACAUAGCCGACCUGAGAGGGUGAUCGGCCACACUGGGACUGAGACACGGCCCAGACGCCUACGGGAGGCAGCAGUAGGGAAUCUUCGGCAAUGGACGGAAGUCUGACCGAGCAACGCCGCGUGAGGGAAGAAGGUUUUCGGAUCGUAAAGCUCGGUUGUAAGAGAAGAACGAGUGUGAGAGUGGAAAGUUCACACUGUGACGGUAUCUUACCAGAAAGGGACGGCUAACUACGUG
rnacentral:rRNA from 1 species